ACGCGUCCAGCAGGUGAUGUGCCUCAGCGUCCGCGCUACACUUUGGUUGCAGAGUGCCGCGGGGAAUACCUUUAAAGGAAUCCCUCAAAGGAUGCAAUCAGAAUACUGAGGGAAGGGCAGAAUUCAUUUAACAGUUCCUAUUGGUGUUGUGAAAUCUGUUCAGAUCAUUAGUUCACCGUAGUGACAUCUUGUCUUAAUAACAUUUUAUGUAACUAAAGCUGGUGAAUAACAACAUUUCUCAUAGCCUGUGUUGAGAAUCAUGGCUGUGGCCUCCAGGUGAUCCGUGACUCCUUCGUGAUUUGUACGUGUCCUGAUAGGGGUCAGAAUACUCUUCCUCCAUCAGUGGGUAUUGGCCUCGGCUGUGCUGGGAACCUGAAGACAAGCGAUUCCUGUUCUUCCGCGCCCUCUCACUGUGACCGUUUUCAUCGGAGUGCACCAAGCGUGUUCGUUCAACGGGUUCAUUUCAUUAAUUGACUUUAAAUUACCAGCCACUGUUGCUGGAAUUGAACAGGACUAUGAACAUUUCAUGAAAUAAAUGUGAGUCGCACAAGAUGUAAGUGGCAUAUUAAAGAUUACAUGUGGUUGAUUGGAUCAGUUGUUUCCUUUUAAUUUAAAUGGCAUUUUUUUUAAAGCCGAAGGAUACCUUUCUGUAUCUAAAAUGUAGAACAGAAGAAGCAUUUUAGAAGGUUAUAGAUAGAGGGGGUGAGAACAGCACCUGGCACAAUAUAGAGUUCAUUAGAACGCUGACAAAAAUGUCUUAAGUGCGUGUGGGUUGGGAUUACAUUCAUUGAGUGAGUAACACUAUAUAUGUGAUUAGUGAGUUAAUCUUUGCACCUGGGUACGAGAAUGUGCAGUUUUCAAUUGCCUGAAUUGAAACAUGGGUCAUGGC